AAAGCGUGCGCAGGCGGUUUUGUAAGACUGUACGUGAAAUCCCCGGGCUCAACCUGGGAAUGGCGAUGGUGACUGCAAGGCUAGAGUUUGGCAGAGGGGGUAGAAUUCCACGUGUAGCAGUGAAAUGCGUAGAUAUGUGGAGGAACACCGAUGGCGAAGGCAGCCCCCUGGGUCAAAACUGACGCUCAUGCACGAAAGCGUGGGGAGCAAACAGGAUUAGAUACCCGGGU
rnacentral:rRNA from 1 species